UCCCAAUUAACAAGUGAACAUAUUACAUACUCCCGUUGUGUUCAUCUCGUACUGCACGUACUAUACAGAACAUAUAUAUAGGGGUAUGUACAAGGAAAACAUCUUCGUCCUGGUCUCCCAGAAGAGCGAGAACACGUACGAAUUCAACUUGGUGCGGGACGAUGGACUGCAUGCAUGGCGGCAGAGCAGCCCACGUCGGCGGCGAGUGUCGGCUUUAAUAAUUUAUUACGACCAGUAGUACUACUGCCGUUUAUGGGCCUGGCUGCAUGGCCUACCACGGCGGCAAGUUGUUGCACCGGGGGUGGUGUGAUUCCCCGGCCGGCCCCUUGUGGGCAUCCUCCCUUUCUCUCUCUCUGUAUGCACACACAUCGCUUUCUUAUCUUUAGUAUUCUCCCCCGUUUUCCCCUGUGCCGCAGGCGAUCGAGAUAGGAGAGUGACAGGAAGAUAUAUAGGGUCAAUUAGGGUUGAAGCAGAGGCCGGGGAGUUAAAAGGAAGGGGAUGAAGGAAAUGCAUGCAAGGUAUAGUACUACCGUGGCAAGCAGCUGGGGAAGAGGAUGAGAAUGAGAUGCCUGGCCGGACAUAUAUGGUGAAUGGGAUUUGGGUACGUUGGGGCCAUGCAAAAGACACAGGAGGGGCAUGUAGCCCCUAUUGGCAUAAAAGGGGCUAGGUAGCUACCGAUGACUACUACUGACUCUGAGGAAGAAAGUGACUAACUGGAGAAAGAUGUUGGGCAUGCAGGUGCCAUGGCGGCCAAUUGGAUGGAAAUAUAUAAUCACCACAGUGAUUGGGGGGGAGGGGUGGGGGCUCGAUCGAUCGGCUGGUUGGUCAGAUCGUUCAGAUGUGGCAAACUGUGUUUGCUUGUAUUGGUGGCCCUCUCGCUUGCAAAUGCUACCUAGCCAGGGUGCCCACAUUUGUGGUGGUAUCUGGUAUGCAUGUCUGCUCCUGCCCUACUCCAAGAAUUGACCAUUCAGAGCUCUACUUUACAUGCUAACAGUUCAUGCCUUAGGUUUCGCUUUCCAUCUUCCCCUGGACCCGGCCGGCCCCUGUGCCAUUGAGUUUAUCAUUGUGUUUCUGAAAUAUCAAUUUUUUUGUAACACUGACUAAUUCUGUAGCAUUUGCAUGAAGAGAAAAAUGGAACCAAUUACUCACCAAUAUCUAGCUAUCACCGGAGUUAUUGCAGACGUCUUUGAAAAUUUCUUCUGUAAUUCAAGAAUCGCAGAGCUCCAGGUACAAGCUCUACCUGACGUACGUGCUGCUUCAAGUGUCGAAUAAUAAUCGCCCG
rnacentral:lncRNA from 1 species